rnacentral:piRNA from 1 species
AGGGGCUGGAGAGAUGGCUCAGAGUU